GAAGAGCCUAAUUUAUUACGUACACUUGACGGCGGCGCCGCCAGUGACACUGCCACCACCUGACGCUCUACCGCUUCUCGUCGCCAUCGACCGCAACGGCGUUGAAGAGGUGCUCCCGGAGGAGGUCAACAGUGGCGAGACGGCGGAGGCGACGACAAUCGACAAAGAGGGCAAAAAAGGAGAGGGCUGGGAGGAGGAGAAGGAGGAGGAUGAGAAUAGAUGAGUUGUGGAGGAGGUGAGUUAGAGUCAAGGACGCAUGUGAAAAGGAAAAAUGCCCGAACGGGCAAUAUGGGGAGGAGAAUAGGGGAAGGGAGAAGUAGGUGAACAUCUGAUAAGAUGUUACGGUGAGGAAAAGAAAAUCUACAGUGCCGCAAAUACUCAAACCCUAAAAGUGGCAUCCCCUUAUUUUAGUGGAUUGUGGAGCCCACAUACAAUUUUUUUAAGAAUUAAUUGCACAUUGGUCCCGAACCUUUCUAUUAUUUUUUUAUUUUGGCCUCCCCUUUCAUCAUCAGCAAC
rnacentral:lncRNA from 1 species